GUACUUUUGUAUAUAAAUAUAUAGAGUGUACCUUCACCUAUCGUCCGCUUAUUUGAGUGCCUUAUUGGAAUGAUGUUGAGUCCACAUGUUCAGACAGACAGGAAGUGGCUGAUUAAAUCACCUUUAUUAAAAGAUACAAGAUGCUGGAAUACCAACACUUUAGAAUGCAGAAGUACUUUACACACAGGCCCAGGCUUGUGUCCAAUAUGGCCCCUUAUUCACUAUAUAGUGCACUACUUUACACACAGGCCCAGGCUUGUGUCCAAUAUGGCCCCUUAUUCACUAUAUAGUGCACUACUUUACACACAGGGCCAGGCUUGUGUCCAAUAUGGCCCCUUAUUCACUAUAUAGUGCACUACUUUACACACAGGGCCAGGCUUGUGUCCAAUAUGGCCCCUUAUUCACUAUAUAGUGCACUACUUUACACACAGGCCCAGGCUUGUGUCCAAUAUGGCCCCUUAUUCACUAUAUAGUGCACUACUUCACACACAGGCCCAGGCUUGUGCCCAACCAAACUCACAUAGAGGCUGUAUCCAAUAUGGCCCCUUAUUCACCAUGUAGUGCACUACUUUAGACCAGAGCCCUAUUCCCUAUAUAGGGCACUACUUUAGACCAGAGCCCUAUUCCAUAUAUAGUGCACUACUUUAGACCAGAGCCCUAUUCCCUAUAUAGUGCACUACUUUAGACCAGAGCCUUAUUCCAUAUAUAGUGCACUACUUUAGACCAGAGCCCUAUUCCCUAGAUAGUGCACUACCUUUAACUACAGCAUUAUUCCAUAUAUAGUGCACUACUUUAGACCAGAGCCCUAUUCCCUAUAUAGUGCACAACAUUAUACUACAGCCCUAUUCCCUAUAUAGUGCACUACUUUAUACUACAGCCCUAUUCCCUAUAUAGUGCACUACUUUUAACCAGAGCCCUGAAUAGACCAGACACCUAAUCAUCUAUAUACAUCUUAAUCUAGCAUUGUGUUUCUCCUAUUAAUCACCCUGUGAAUGACUCUCUAUGGGUCCAGGUUAACACACUAUAAAGGGGAACAGAAUGACUCUCUAUGGGUCCAGGUUAACACACUAUAAAGGGGAACAGAAUGACUCUCUAUGGGUCCAGGUUAACACUCUAUAAAGGGGAACAGAAUGACUCUCUAUGGGUCCAGGUUAACACUCUAUAAAGGGAACAGAAUGACUCUCUAUGGGUCCAGGUUAACACUCUAUAAGGGGAACAGAAUGACUCUCUAUGGGUCCAGGUUAACACUAUAUAAAGGGGAACAGAAUGACUCUCUAUGGGUCCAGGUUAACACUCUAUAAAGGGAACAGAAUGACUCUCUAUGGGUCCAGGUUAACACUCUAUAAGGGGAACAGAAUGACUCUCUAUGGGUCGAGGUUAACACUCUAUAAGGGGAACAGAAUGACUCUCUAUGGGUCCAGGUUAACACACUAUAAAGGGAACAGAAUGACUCUAUGGGUCCAGGUUAACACUCUAUAAGGGGAACAGAAUGACUCUCUAUGGGUCCAGGUUAACACAUUAUAAAGUGAAUAAGAGUCCAUUUGGAACACAGCUACAGUAGUAAUAACAAAGGUAUUUUUUGAUCAAAAUCCCUGUAAAUAUCUGCGGUAUCCUUGCCAACCCAUUUCAAUCUGCAGGUUGGUUUUUUUCUUUUCAAAAUCACAACGUGACAGUAAACCAGUCUUUAAAGAAAAAAGAGAUCUGAAACCAUGCAACACUCAACAAGCCCACGUUACAGUUACUUCUGGGUUCGCCACCGUUUUGAAUGGCAUCAUCAAUAUCAUCAUCAUCAUCAUCAUCAUCAUCAUCAUCAAUAUCAUCAUCAUCAUCAUCAAUAUCAUGAUCAUCGUCAUCAAUAUCAUGAUCAUCAUCAUCAAUAUCAUCAUCAUCAAUAUCAUGAUCAUCAUCAUCAAUAUUAUCAUCAUCAAUAUCAUGAUCAUCAUCAAUAUCAUCAUCAUCAUCAUCAAUAUCAUGAUCAUUAUCAAUAUCAUGAUCAUCAUCAACAAUAUCAUGAUCAUCAUCAAUAUCAUCAUCAUCAAUAUCAUGAUCAUCAUCAAUAUCAUGAUCAUCAUCAUCAUCAUCAAUAUCAUCAUCAUCAUCAUCAAUAUCAUCAUCAUCAAUAUCAUGAUCAUCAUCAAUAUCAUGAUCAUCAUCAUCAUCAUCAAUAUCAUCAUCAUCAUCAUCAAUAUCAUCAUCAUCAACACUUACAACACCAUAAGACUUCACACAACAGUGACAAGGACGUUUUGACGUUUUUUUUUUUGGGGGAGACAGAAUCGAUCAAAUCUCGAAGACCUCAUCCACUGAGUUUCCAUGACAGGACAAAACGGGUCACGUCGUAGAUAGAACGGGGUUCUCUUCUGUUUCAUUAGUUCGUUACCCGAGUCCAUCGCUGCCUUUAGGCCUCAUGCUUGGUGUUAAAGGGGGACAGUGACCCCGAGCAACAGAUAUACACUACACUUCAGCAAACUAACCACUGGCACCAAACACUAACCUGCUGCUCCCAGAUCAGUGUCUAACCUCCGUGUUGGCACCAAACACUAACCUGCAGCUCCCAGAUCAGUGUCUAACCUCCGUGUUGGCACCAAACACUAACCUGCUGCUCCCAGAUCAGUGUCUAACCUCCGUGUUGGCACCAAACACUAACCUGCAGCUCCCAGAUCAGUGUCUAACCUGCUGCUCCCAGAUCAGUGUCUAACCUGCUGCUCCCAGAUCAGUGUCUAACCUGCUGCUCCCAGAUCAGUGUCUAACCUGCUGCUCCCAGAUCAGUGUCUAACCUGCUGCUCCCAGAUCAGUGUCUAACCUCCGUGUUGGCACCAAACACUAACCUGCAGCUCCCAGAUCAGUGUCUAACCUGCUGCUCCCAGAUCAGUGUCUAACCUGCUGCUCCCAGAUCAGUGUCUAACCUGCUGCUCCCAGAUCAGUGUCUAACCUGCUGCUCCCAGAUCAGUGUCUAACCUGCUGCUCCCAGAUCAGUGUCUAACCUGCUGCUCCCAGAUCAGUGUCUAACCUGCUGCUCCCAGAUCAGUGUCUA
ensembl:lncRNA